GCAAUUUUGAUGCAAAAUUGAACCUGGAAACCUGCUAAAAUGUGGAUACCAGUGGAUAAAGCUCAAUGUGUGUGGCCUGGUAGAUACAGACGAUAUCAGAUACCCAAGUGCAAUGAUCCUUUUGGACUUGGAAUACAUCUUUUAUGGAAACAGGUAGUGUUCUCCAUAAAAAGGGGCUGGUCACUCAUCGGUUUCAGAUGCCAAUGUGGACAGGGUACGGCAGGUGUUCGCAAGGAGUUCUAUAAAAUCGGCAUUUUUGGCAGCCAGAGAGUUGCAAAUGAGAAGAUCGACGUUGGACAAUGUCGUGCAUAAGAGGUCAUGCAAUUUUGAUGCGAAAUGGAACCUGAAAACCUGCUAAAAUGUGGAUACCAGUGGAUAAAGCUCAAUGUGUGUGGCCUGGUAGAUACAGGCGAUAUCAGAUACCCAAGUGCAAUGAUCCUUUCGGACUUGGAAUACAUCAUUUAUGGAAACAGGUAGUGUUCUCCAUGAAAAGGGGCUGGUCACCCAUCUGUUUCAGUUGCCAAUGUGUACAGGGUAUGGCAGGUGUUUGCGAGGAGUUCUAUAAAAUCGGCAUGUAUGGCAGACAGAGAAUUGGAAAUGAGAUCGACGUUGCACAAUGUCGUGCAUAAGAGUACUCACGAGACAUUUACAGUGGGGUGUGCAGUUGAGAACAGUUCUCCAUCUACCCCUCAGUGCUCACCAGAAUUAUCCAAAGUGGGGCACUAUGCCACUUCCAAGAAGCAGGCCAAAGAUGUCCUGGUAAGCAGCACAUUGUCAAUGCUGCGAGGCAAACAACAGCAAUGAGUGGGAGCAAUGAGGAUGGCAAGUUGGGCCAGUAUGUUGCAGCUGAGCUGAUUACAACUAAAAAUAGAAAAUUGGAGGCAGAGACCAAGUGCCUUAUCACGAAUGCCAUCAUGGGUGCAAUUCAGA